rnacentral:lncRNA from 1 species
GCAGGGACGCGCGUGAGUUCCGGCGGCCUGCACCGGGCAAACCCCUUACCUUCCCAGCAUCGGCUCAGCAACCCACGUGCAUACAGGCCGGUUAAUGUCAGUGAGUCACCUCCGCGCCUUGGCCACCGUGGAGUCCCGAGAAUCCGAAGUUCCAGACGAAUGCCCAAACUGCAUUCCUGCAUGUUCGAAAGCGUAAAUUGCAAAGCACAAAUCCAGUUAUAGAUUGUGGCCGGGCGCAGUGGCUCACGCCUGUAAUCCCAGCACUUUGAGAGGCCGAGGCGGAUGGAUCACGAGGUCAGCAGUUCGAGAUCAGCAUGUCCAACAUGGUGAAGCCCCAUUUCUACUAAAAAUACAAACAUUAUCCACUCAUGGUGGCGGGCCCCUGUAAUCCCAGCUACUCCGUAGGCUGAGGCAGGAGAAUCGCUUGAACCCAGGAGGCGGAGGUGUCAGUGAUCUGAGACCGCACCAUUGCACUCCAGCCUGGGCGACAGAGCAAGACUCCGUCUCAAAAAAAAAAAAAAAAAAAAAAGUUAUAGAUUGUAAGGAAAAUACCCCCAAGGAAGUUGAGGACACAGCAGAGUUGGACUGUCUCCAAACCUGUUCAUUCUUCUGAGCGCACUGCUCGGAGCAUCCUAUUGGGCAGCAUAUCCUGGCCUCGUUUCCAGUUCCAUGUGGUAAUAUACCUGAUUUCUGGCCAAUAAAAUAUGAGAGGACAUGAAAUUCAACAGCCCCUGGGCUUGGCUCAUAAAACCUUCCAUGCGAUCCUCCACACCUUUUCACCUCUCAACUGCUGAGACUUUUCUAGGCACUACACAGAAGCAGCCUGGGUCUCCAGUAGCGAAGGAGAGCAGAUCCUUCUCACUAUCCUGCACUGAACUGUGACAUGAGCAAAAAAUAAAGUUUUUAUUUUCUUACAC